rnacentral:rRNA from 1 species
UCGCCUGUUUUUCAAAAACAUCGCCAGUAAUUUUACCGGUAAAAUCUGCCCAGUGAUAUUUAACGGCCGCAGUAUCUUAACUGUGCUAAGGUAGCGAAAUCAUUAGUCUCUUAAUUGGAAACCUGUAUAAACGAUCCGACGUAAGGUCAACUUUCUCCUCGGUCCUUCGAACUUACUUUUAGAAGUAAAAAAGCUUCUUAUUAUCAGACGGACGACAAGACCCUAAAAAGCUUUAUUCUUCGAAAGGUCAAAUCCUUACACCUUUUACUUUUAAAGAAUUAUACUGGGGCGGUAGCUCAACCAUUAACACGAGUCACCCUAACAGCCUGCCUGACUUUAUCAAACACCAAGAUGUAAUUAAGUUCAAGUUACUUUAGGGAUAACAGCAUAAUUUUUUCUCAGAGCCCAUAUCGACGAAGAAGAUUAUGACCUCGAUGUUGAAUUGAAGAGCCUUCCUGGGGCAGCUCCUGGGUGAGGAAGUCUGUUCGACUUUUAAACCUUUACAUGAUUUGAGUCCAAACCGGA